AGUGGCGGACGGGUGAGUAAUGUCUGGGAAACUGCCUGAUGGAGGGGGAUAACUACUGGAAACGGUAGCUAAUACCGCAUAACGUCGCAAGACCAAAGAGGGGGACCUUCGGGCCUCUUGCCAUCGGAUGUACCCAGAUGGGAUUAGCUAGUAGGUGGGGUAACGGCUCACCUAGGCGACGAUCCCUAGCUGGUCUGAGAGGAUGACCAGCCACACUGGAACUGAGACACGGUCCAGACUCCUACGGGAGGCAGCAGUGGGGAAUAUUGCACAAUGGGCGCAAGCCUGAUGCAGCCAUGCCGCGUGUAUGAAGAAGGCCUUCGGGUUGUAAAGUACUUUCAGCGGGGAGGAAGGGAGUAAAGUUAAUACCUUUGCUCAUUGACGUUACCCGCAGAAGAAGCACCGGCUAACUCCGUGCCAGCAGCCGCGGUAAUACGGAGGGUGCAAGCGUUAAUCGGAAUUACUGGGCGUAAAGCGCACGCAGGCGGUUUGUUAAGUCAGAUGUGAAAUCCCCGGGCUCAACCUGGGAACUGCAUCUGAUACUGGCAAG
rnacentral:rRNA from 1 species